rnacentral:rRNA from 1 species
UACAGAGGUCUCAAGCGUUGUUCGGAUUCAUUGGGCGGAAAGGGUGCGUAGGUGGCGCCAUAAGUCAGGUGUGAAAUCUCGGGGCUCAACUCCGAAACUGCACUUGAUACUGUGGUGCUCGAGUACUGGAGAGGAGAUUGGAAUUUACGGUGUAGCAGUGAAAUGCGUAGAUAUCGUAAGGAAGACCAGUGGCGAAGGCGAAUCUCUGGACAGUUACUGACACUGAGGCACGAAGGCCAGGGGAGCAAACGGG